GUAGGUGGCAAGCGUUGUCCGGAAUUAUUGGGCGUAAAGCGCGCGCAGGCGGUUCUUUAAGUCUGAUGUGAAGCCCACGGCUCAACCGUGGAGGGUCAUUGGAAACUGGAGAACUUGAGUACAGAAGAGGAAAGCGGAAUUCCACGUGUAGCGGUGAAAUGCGUAGAGAUGUGGAGGAACACCAGUGGCGAAGGCGGCUUUCUGGUCUGUAACUGACGCUGAGGCGCGAAAGCGUGGGGAGCAAACAGGAUUAGAUACCCUGGUAGUCCACGCCGUAAACGAUGAGUGCUAAGUGUUAGGGGGGUUUCCGCCCCUUAGUGCUGCAGCUAACGCAUUAAGCACUCCGCCUGGGGAGUACGGCCGCAAGGCUG
rnacentral:rRNA from 1 species